rnacentral:misc_RNA from 1 species
UUGAAUGAAUUUAGAGUUGGUUGUUGCUGGCCCCCCUUCCUGAGGCAUGUGCACACCUUCUCUUUCAUCCACACACACACCUGUGCACUUGUGAGAUGUGGAGGGCUGGAAAUUCUAUUCUCAACCCUUCCAUCUGCUAUUACACAAACUCAAUUUAAUUUAAGCUGAAUGUAAUUGAUGUAACACAUCUAAUAUAC